rnacentral:rRNA from 1 species
UACAGAGGGUGCAAGCGUUGUUCGGAAUUAUUGGGCGUAAAGCGCGUGUAGGCGGCUUUGCAAGUCGGGUGUGAAAGCCCUCAGCUCAACUGAGGAAGUGCGCCCGAAACUGCAGAGCUUGAGUGCCGGAGAGGGUGGCGGAAUUCCCCAAGUAGAGGUGAAAUUCGUAGAUAUGGGGAGGAACACCCGUGGCGAAAGCGGCUCUCUGGGACGGUACUGACGCUGAGACGCGAAAGCGUGGGGAGCAAACAGG